rnacentral:rRNA from 1 species
AUUCCAGCUCCAAUAGCGAAUUCUAUUUCCGCUGCAGUUAAAAAGCUCGUAGUUGGAUUUCUGAUAGGGAGCCGAUCACCACUGUUGUGAGUGUUAGGUACCUGUCAUCCUUCUGUUAACCCCUGCGGCAUUCAUUUGUCGUUGGGCGGACCAGAUACUUUACCUUGAGAAAAUUAGAGUGUUUCAGGCAGGCCUAGCCGGAAUACAUUAGCAUGGAAUAAUGGAAUAGGACUAUAGUCUCGUCGUUGGUUACGUGGACUGCAGUAAUGAUUAAUAGGGAUAGUUGGGGGCAUUAGUAUUUAUUAGCUAGAGGUGGAAUUCUCUAAUUUGAUAAAGACUAACUUAUGCGAAAGCAUUUGCCAAGGAUGUUUUCAUUG